rnacentral:lncRNA from 1 species
GAGAGAGGAGAGAGAGGCCUUGCUGUGAAUGGAAGACAGGAGGGACUCUGGUACAUCUGGGAGUGGAAACUUGAUGCUUCUGGGCUGUGAUUUGCCAAGGUCUCGCCAAAGGUGAGUACUCUGGGGGCCCGAAGAGCUCUCACUUGGAAGGGUCCAGACCCCGCCCAAAUCUGAGAGUCUGGUGGUAAUCAAACAGCGGUUAAAACUGGGAUGGAGUGAAGGUCGGGGAAGGGCUACAGCGUAAGGGUUCCAGAAUAAAUGGGUGCCAGUGCGCCUUGUAGCUAGCUUGUGGCUCAGGCUCCCGCCUAGGGCUGCUUCCCAACCUGCUAAGGUCAUCCGAGACGGCUGUGACUUCUAGAGCCCUCUCCCUAUGCGGACCUGCACCUCCGCUCCUUACAUACCCUCGUUCAAGUGACGCUUUGGUAUCAGGAAGUGAGAAAGUAUUCUUCUCUCAGACCUUUAAAAGGGAAAGUUUGGCAAGGUGGGCGCUCUUUGGUUCUACUAUCCCCUCGAUUCUAACCUAGGAUCCCUAGAUUGUACAGGAUAUUGUUAUUUUCCUUUUAUAAAGAAUGACUUUAACGAAAAUUCGUAUGUAGUCAAAAAGAUUAUUGGAUCACCAUGACUGAUCAGCUGCUGCUGACCUACCAAUAAGCGUUAUUUAAAUAUACACGCACAUUCGUGCGUGCCCCCUACACGCAAACACACUCGGGGGGGGGGGGGACGUCUAUAUGUAAUGAGUAAGACAGCUCGAAGUUACCAAGAAUUAAGAGGGAAUCAAAAAGGCUUUUAAGUGUUAUGUAUGCAUCUUCCAUUUGUGUGCAGAUUGGGGUGGGGGGGUGCCUGUCUGUUGCGUGUGUUGUCAGCUGGUUCUAGUUUCUAAGCACUGAGUGUUGCCAAAGGCUGGAGCCAGCACCCACCAUUCACCUUGGCACCCUAGCGGCAGAACAGGACUCAUUUGUUUGGUGCCAAGAGGUGAGGACCUGGAAGAGACUGGGGUGUAGUUAGGUCGGGGGGGGCCCCCUGCCAUCCAUUACACCUGCGGCAGAUGGCUCAAGUGGUAGAAUGGUUUUGUUUGCCAGAAUCAAGAAGGGAGGAGGAGAAAAUUCAGCCUCGCCCUACUGAAAAGAAGUACAGUAAAGAGCCAGAGAGAUGAAAGAAGCCAUCAAAACCAAGGAUGCUGAGUCCUGGGCAGUUAAUGACCUUGAUACCUGGUUCCAAUAGAUAACAAGGCAGAAUUUUAUGAAUGUAUUUUUUGAUCAAAUGUUUUACACACACACAACACAACACACACACACACACCUCCGCGUAGAUGCACACAGGUGUUCUGGGAGAACCUCUCCAUGGGAGCUGACUUAGGAAGCUCUUCCUCAGAGCUUCAUUCCCUCAGACUGCCAACUCAUACACAUAAAGGCUCCCUCCCUAGACAACCAACUAUGGAUUUAAGCAGACUUCAAAUGUACCAGUCUCCUUCUCACAGAGUAAUGUUUUCUGAUCAAUACUGCCACCCUUGCAUCCGUUUCUUCAUGUUACUCAACAAGCAGGGAAUGGAAUAACUGUGCCUUCUCUGGAGACAGUAGACCAUGGGCAUGUGACAAAGAGCCCAGUCCCAAUCUAGUAGUUCAGUCUGUUUUCAUUUCUUUAAUUCUGUACUAAAGAGAGAGUUAUAUCAAGGGAGACCAAAACACACCAGGAUUCUGUCUCCACCCUUCACACUAAUCACAAUGACCACUCACAUCUAUGUUUUUAUAGCAAACAUUUUCAUGUUUUUUUAUGACAUGAAUUAUUAUGCUGACCUAAUUUUCUGUUCUAAAUCAAGCAACUUUCCUUUACCCAGGGUAUAAUAUGCUGACUUGUUGGCACUGGUUUGCAUGCAAACACC